UACGUAGGGAGCAAGCGUUAUCCGGAAUUACUGGGUGUAAAGGGAGUGUAGGCGGGACUGCAAGUCAGAUGUGAAAAUUAUGGGCUCAACUCAUAACCUGCAUUUGAAACUGUAGUUCUUGAGUGAAGUAGAGGUAAGCGGAAUUCCUAGUGUAGCGGUGAAAUGCGUAGAUAUUAGGAGGAACAUCAGUGGCGAAGGCGGCUUACUGGGCUUUUACUGACGCUGAGGCUCGAAAGCGUGGGGAGCAAACAGG
rnacentral:rRNA from 2 species